rnacentral:rRNA from 1 species
GAUGAACGCUGGCGGUGUGCCUAAUACAUGCAAGUCGAGCGAUGAAGCUUGGUGCUCGCACUCAUUUGAAGAGCAGCGAACGGGCGAGUAACGCGUGGGGCAUCUGCCACUGAGCGGGGGACAAUAUCUGGAAACGAAUGCCAAUACUGCAUCACACCUUCAACCAUAAGAUUCAAGUUUGAAAGAUGCAAUUGCAUCACUCAUAGAUGAUUCUGCGGUGUAUUAGCUAGUUGGUGAGGUAAAGGCCCACCAAGGCGGUGAUACAUAGCCGACCUGAGAGGGUUGUCGACCACAAUUGGACUGGAGAACGGCCCAAGCUCCUACGGGAGGCAGCAGUAGGGAAUCUUCGGCAAUGGGCGGAAGUCUGACCGAGCAACGCCGCGUGGGUGAAGGAGGUUUUCGGAUCGUAAAACUCUGUUUGUAGAGAAGGACAUUGAUGAGGGUAGAAAGCUCAUCUAGUGACGGUAACUACACAAAAAGGGACGGCUAACUACGUG